rnacentral:rRNA from 1 species
CACGUAGGGGGCGAGCGUUGUCCGGAUUUAUUGGGCGUAAAGAGCUCGUAGGCGGUUCAGUAAGUCAGGUGUGAAACCUCCAGGCUCAACCUGGAGACGCCACCUGAUACUGCUGUGACUGGAGUCCGGUAGAGGAGCGUGGGAUUUCUGGUGUAGCGGUGAAAUGCGCAGAUAUCAGAAGGAACACCAACGGCGAAGGCAGCGCUCUGGGCCGGUACUGACGCUGAGGAGAGAAAGCGUGGGUAGCAAACAGG